GCCUGUUUGCCUCUGUCCUCUCCCACUGCAUGGACUAUAGUCAUUGUGUGGUCUGCUAACUAAUGCUAAGGUGUCUGUGUAAGGCAGAGGGGAGGGGUGAACAACCCCUAUUUAGCAAGGAGAAACCUUGCAGACACUCUGUGCCUGCAAGUCUGUGCCAAGCUCCAGCUGGGGACCAGAGGGGAGGAGCCAGCCCUGUAGUGGAGCAGAGAUUCCUGCCCAGCCCAGAGAGCAUAUCAGGAUGCUGCGGGUGUGUGGUUUAUCUUAACCCAGCAAAGGAUGAAGACCCCAUUCACUAAAUGGAGACCAGCAACCAGCUAUCAAUCAGUAUUGUGGCAACUUGUAGUCAUCAGUGGCCUGGACUGAAUUCAAAAAGCAAAUGAAAAACGGCAAGUUCCAGUCAUUUAGUUCACUUCAUCUGUUUGGGUUGUUUUACAUAAACAUUUUCACUAGUUGGA